UUCUGAGCAUCAAGUUUGUGUUUAUUAACACGAGGGUACUGAUCACCUGCAUGUGUUUCUAAAGUGCAUUUUUUUCUUUCUUUUGGCUUAUCUUUAUCCAGAGCAUUAAUACUUUAUAUAUCAAAUUGCUUAAUAUUGUAGCCAUAAGAAUUUAGAUGUUUACAGUUACACAAUGCUAUUCACCUUUUCUGAUACCAUCUCUUUAUUUGUUUCUUGUAAGAAAAUAUAUCCUUGCUGAUAUGUGCCACUAUGUUGCUUUGAAGAGUUAGCUUAUCAAAGAAUACAUGAGAACUGGAUUUAGUACCUCUGGUUGCAGGUCGAGAUACUCUAGUUGCAGUGAGUCUUUAGAAAUGGUUGACUAUCUAUGAAGUGUUCACAAAAUUUCAAGUG
rnacentral:lncRNA from 1 species